rnacentral:rRNA from 1 species
UACGUAGGGUGCAAGCGUUAAUCGGAAUUACUGGGCGUAAAGCGUGCGCAGGCGGCUAUGCAAGACAGAUGUGAAAUCCCCGGGCUCAACCUGGGAACUGCAUUUGUGACUGCAUGGCUAGAGUACGGUAGAGGGGGAUGGAAUUCCGCGUGUAGCAGUGAAAUGCGUAGAUAUGCGGAGGAACACCAGUGGCGAAGGCGACUACCUGGCCUGUUUCUUGACGCUGAGGCGCGAAAGCUAGGGGAGCAAACGGG